CUACGGACUUGAUUGUAUUGAGCCUUGGUAUGGAAACUUACCAGGUGAAAACUUUCAAAUUCAGAGAAACCCUGGAAUUAAAAAAGGGCAAUCCUGAGCCAAAUCCGUGUUUUGAGAAGGGAUUCUCGAACUAGAAUACAAAGGAAAAGGAUAGGUGCAGAGACUCAAUGGAAGCUGUUCUAACGAAUCGAGUUAAUUACGUUGUGUUGUUAGUGGAAUUCCUUCUAAUUCUAAAUUAGAGAAAGAGGG
rnacentral:ncRNA from 1 species